GUCUCACCCAUGAAGUAUUCUUACCCAAAAUGUUUAACCUGAAUCUAACCAACCUUUUAUAUCCAACUACCAGCUUACAAGGAAUAGAGGAACAAGGGAAAUGACAUCCCAAGGAAAUCAUCAGAGUGAAAAGGUGUCUAAUGGUUUAUGAUGUCUACCUUCUUUGUGAACUAAACCUUUUAUCACUAAAAAUACUCAUCUUCGUUUCAAAGAUAAACUCAAAAUGGAUUAAAGAU